UCACGGUCAGGAGGGGCGGCCGUGAGGAGAUACCCCACGUCCAAGAAAGUGGAGUCUGAUAUAAACCCAAGCUCCAGCUCCAGGAGACGUCACACAACAUGCCCUCAUAUUCAUUUAGCACCGUGCAUGGAAGAUUCAUGGGAGGUCUUCUGAGAAAAUGAGCCACAUGCCCUGCAAGGACCCAGUUAAACAUCUGACAAUGUGGUCUAAAAGCCAACUGGCUCCCUGGGGAUCAUCGGUCUCAACCAUUUCCAAGGGAAACCAAGAGCCCUGUGUCACUUGGACAAGUUCCCUGCCCCUGAAUUCAAUUAUUGCCCUGGCCAACCAGGAACUCAAUUAUUGGUCACAUUUUGUAUUCCCAGAGCUAAAGGCAUUUUGAUAAUUCUCAAAGGAAAAAUCAAAGCAGAGCUGGCUUUUUCCAAAAUUCAAGCACUCUUGGUGGAACUGCUGAGACCAAGAGUAUUUCGAGUCAUAAUGUCAUAACGCCCUUUGGACCUGCUGCUGUCGUUCUCUCUUGGUUUCCUGUUCCUGGAAGCCUGCUCUCUAGAUUGCUUUGAUUAAACCCAGUCUGGGGCGUCAGAUUCUUAGCACAUCCUCCGCCAUAUUUUAUGAUAAAUCUCAUUCAAUUUCCCAUG